ACUCCUACGGGAGGCAGCAGUGGGGAAUAUUGCACAAUGGGCGCAAGCCUGAUGCAGCCAUGCCGCGUGUAUGAAGAAGGCCUUCGGGUUGUAAAGUACUUUCAGCGGGGAGGAAGGGAGUAAAGUUAAUACCUUUGCUCAUUGACGUUACCCGCAGAAGAAGCACCGGCUAACUCCGUGCCAGCAGCCGCGGUAAUACGGAGGGUGCAAGCGUUAAUCGGAAUUACUGGGCGUAAAGCGCACGCAGGCGGUUUGUUAAGUCAGAUGUGAAAU
rnacentral:rRNA from 1 species